GACGAACGCUGGCGGCGUGCUUAACACAUGCAAGUCGAACGGAAAGGCCCUGCUUUUGUGGGGUGCUCGAGUGGCGAACGGGUGAGUAACACGUGAGUAACCUGCCCUUGACUUUGGGAUAACUUCAGGAAACUGGGGCUAAUACCUGAUAGGAGCUCCUGCUGCAUGGUGGGGGUUGGAAAGUUUCGGCGGUUGGGGAUGGACUCGCGGCUUAUCAGCUUGUUGGUGGGGUAGUGGCUUACCAAGGCUUUGACGGGUAGCCGGCCUGAGAGGGUGACCGGCGACAUUGGGACUGAGAUACGGCCCAGACUCCUACGGGAGGCAGCAGUGGGGAAUAUUGCACAAUGGGCGGAAGCCUGAUGCAGCAACGCCGCGUGCGGGAUGACGGCCUUCGGGUUGUAAACCGCUUUAGCCUGUGACGAAGCGUGAGUGACGGUAAUGGGUAAAGAAGCACCGGCUAACUACGUG
rnacentral:rRNA from 1 species